rnacentral:rRNA from 64 species
UAGCGCGGUGGUCCCACCUGACCCCAUGCCGAACUCAGAAGUGAAACGCCGUAGCGCCGAUGGUAGUGUGGGGUCUCCCCAUGCGAGAGUAGGGAACUGCCAGACA